UACGUAGGGACCAAGCGUUGUCCGGAAUCAUUGGGCGUAAAGAGCGUGUAGGCGGCUUGUUAAGUCUUGCGUGAAAUCUCGGGGCUCAACCCCGAGCGGUCGUGAGAAACUGGCAGGCUAGAGUGCGGGAGAGGAGAGUGGAAUUCCUGGUGUAGCGGUGAAAUGCGCAGAUAUCAGGAAGAACACCAAUGGCGAAGGCAGCUCUCUGGGACGGUACUGGCGCUGAGACGCGAAAGCGUGGGGAGCGAACAGG
rnacentral:rRNA from 1 species